GAUGAACGCUAGCGGCAGGCCUAACACAUGCAAGUCGAGGGGCAGCACAGAAACAGCAAUGUUUUGGUGGCGACCGGCGGACGGGUGCGUAACGCGUAUGCAACCUACCUUUAACAGGGGGAUAACGGAGAGAAAUUUCCACUAAUACCCCAUAACAUCGAUCAAGGCAUCUUGAUUGGUUGAAAACUCCGGUGGUUAAAGAUGGGCAUGCGUUGUAUUAGGUAGUUGGUGAGGUAAUGGCUCACCAAGCCUACGAUACAUAGGGGGACUGAGAGGCUAGCCCCCCACACUGGUACUGAGACACGGACCAGACUCCUACGGGAGGCAGCAGUGAGGAAUAUUGGUCAAUGGGGGCAACCCUGAACCAGCCAGGCCGCGUGCAGGAAGACGGCUCUAUGAGUUGUAAACUGCUUUUAAACAGGGAUAAAGCACAGUAUGUAUACUGUGUUGAAGGUACUGUAAGAAUAAGGAUCGGCUAACUCCGUGCCAGCCGCCGCGGUAA
rnacentral:rRNA from 1 species